AAGACUCGAUCCAAGUCACUCAGACUUCUUCCUCCAAUAGAACUGAAUGACAUGUGUGGCCGUGAUGUCACAUGACCACAAGAUUUUCUUAUUCAACGUCAAAGUGUGAGAGAGGGAGUGAAGAAAAGAGCUGGAAUACUGACGUCUGGAUCACUGAAGGAUUGCAGCAGAAGUGUUUGGUGAGGAACAGAGGAACACACACAGAUAAGAUGAGUGUAAACGGCGUCAGAGAUCAUGAGAAAGUGUUGACGCUGGACACUAUGAAUCCUCAAGUUAAAUGUGUGGAGUACGCUGUGAGGGGUCCAAUCGUCCAGAGAGCCGUUCAGAUCGAGAAAGAGCUCAAGACUGGAAUAAAGAAGCCCUUCACAGAGGUGAUUAAAGCAAACAUCGGUGACUGUCAAGCCAUGGGCCAGAGACCUAUAACCUUCUUCAGACAGGUUUUGGCGCUCUGCUCUUACCCUGAUCUGUUUGAAGACAGCAAAUUUCCAGAAGAUGCCAAAGCUCGAGCGCUACGCAUUCUACAAGCGUGUGGAGGAGGAAGUCUUGGUGCUUACAGUGCCAGUCAGGGAAUUGAAAUGAUACGACAAGACGUGGCUCAAUACAUUGAACGCAGAGACGAAGGAACUAAAUGUGACCCUGAAAACAUUUACCUCUCCACAGGAGCCAGUAAUGCCAUUGUGACGAUGCUGAAGUUGCUGGUGUCAGGUGAAGGAGCAUGUCGUACAGGAGUGAUGAUCUCAAUCCCUCAGUAUCCGCUGUAUUCGGCUGCUCUGGCGGAGUUGGGUGCGGUACAGAUCAGUUAUUAUCUGGAUGAAGACCACUGCUGGAGUCUGAAUGUCAAUGAGUUACGUCGCGCCCUGCAGGAAGCAAAGAGUCACUGCAGUCCACGAGCGUUGUGCAUCAUCAACCCCGGCAACCCUACAGGUCAGGUGCAAAGCCGUCAGUGUAUUGAGGACGUGAUCCGAUUCGCUGCAGAAGAGAAACUUUUCCUCAUGGCUGAUGAGGUCUAUCAGGAUAAUGUUUACGCAGACGGGUGCAAGUUUCACUCCUUUAAGAAGGUUCUGUUUGAAAUGGGCCCACGGUACUCAGAGAAAGUUGAGCUGGCUUCAUUUCAUUCCACCUCCAAGUGUUACAUGGGAGAAUGUGGUUUUCGUGGUGGUUAUAUGGAGGUGGUAAAUCUGGACCCUGAUGUGAAAGCUCAGCUCACUAAACUGGUGUCAGUGCGUUUGUGUCCUCCAGUGCCUGGACAAGCUCUUCUGGAUGUAGUGGUCAAUCCACCCCAACCUCAUGAACCCUCCUAUAGCACAUUCAUCAAGGAACGAUCAGACACGUUGUCUGCGCUGGCAGAGAAAGCCAACAUGACACAAGAGAUCCUGAACCAGAUUCCAGGUAUACAGUGUAAUCCAGUGCAAGGGGCCAUGUACACGUUCCCUCGAAUCCACCUGCCACCCAAAGCCAUUCAAGAGGCCAAAAUCGCAACCAGGUUAUAAAUACUGCUUCAAAAUGCCAAAACAAGAAACGGAGAGGAGGCAACUUCCAGAAAACUUAAUUUAAACUCAACAGGCUGUUCAGCAGCAGAUCAAAGACCAUAGCCCCAAAAAACUGAGUUCCCACAACAGAACUAAAAGUGUCAAAACGGGACUCAGUAGUGUGUAGCCCCAGCAUUCUUUUUGAUCACAACACUCUUUUCGGCAUGGUUGAGACCACUGUUUCCAGCAGGCUGGUGGCAACAUUCCUCCAUGUGGUGAAGAUGGCUUCAUGAAUGGCAUCCAUGUUCUGGAACUGGCGUCCUUUUUUGUAAACAUCCCUUGCCAUCCGUCCCCAAACCAUCUCAAUGGGAUUUAGAUCAGGGGAACAAAAGAGGUACGUUACUCUCCUGAAAGAAGUCCUUUCUCAGUUGUGAACGCAGUGUUGUUCUUUUGAAAGACCCAGUCAUCACUGCACAGACGAGGGCCCUCACUCACCCCAGAUCAUGGGGUGAGUGCCCAGAUCAAGGGGCACCCCAGAUCAUGACGGAGCCUCUAACACUGUGCUGCAUAGAAAACACCUCCAGUGGGAUCUCCUUGUCAUGCCAAUCACAUUGGAAGCCAUCAGGACCGGCCAGGUUAACUCUUUCACCGCCAUUGACGAGUUAUCUCGUCAUUUUAAAAAAACGCUUCCCCGCCAAAGACGAGUUUUUACCGCAAUCAGUGUUUGUACUGUUUUACAGCAGGUGGCGCUAUUGCACACCUUUGGGAAAAUGUACAGAAUCCAAGAACCUAGAACGUUUUUUUAAAAGCUGAGACUCUGUUCUUUCAUUUGAUAUAUUGUUUGUCCAUAUAUUCUUUACAGAAAAUUUACUGUGAGCCCUUAAAGUGGGGUGAAAAUGUUAAAAAAACGCUGGCGUAGGCUGGCAACUUUUUUUUAAAGAGGCUGGCGGCGAAUGAGUUAAAACAAUUCUCAUCAGAGAGUCGUGGCUUUAGAAGAGUUUUUUUGCUCUCUCUCAGAUGUCGUCAUAUGGUUAUUGGGCUGCAGUCAGCUUCAGCACGGGCCUUCAUUUGGGUUGAGGAAUCGCCCUGUGUCUUCACAGACAGUCCAUCAGAUUCUCCGGCUCAGUGCAGGAGAAGGCUGAAGCUCCAGAUAUGUUUUAUUGUAUGAAGCUGUUGGAGGAGACGGGCAUCUGUUUGGUUCCUGGCAGUGGCUUCGGUCAGCGAGAGGGAUCCUACCACUUCAGAAUGACGAUUCUUCC